rnacentral:rRNA from 1 species
UACAGAGGGUGCAAGCGUUGUUCGGAAUUAUUGGGCGUAAAGGGAGUGUAGGCGGUUUGUUAAGUCUUCUGUGAAAUCUACGGGCUUAGCCUGUAACGUGCAGAGGAAACUGGCAGACUUGAGUAUUGGAGAGGGCAGGGGAAUACCCAGUGUAGAGGUGAAAUUCGUAGAGAUUGGGUGGAACACCAGUGGCGAAGGCGCCUGCCUGGCCUGUUCUUGACGCUGAGGCGCGAAAGCUAGGGGAGCAAACGGG